rnacentral:rRNA from 1 species
UACAGAGGGUGCGAGCGUUGUUCGGAAUUAUUGGGCGUAAAGCGCGUGUAGGCGGCUAUUUAAGUCGGGUGUGAAAGCCCUCAGCUCAACUGAGGAAGUGCGCCCGAGACUGAAUGGCUUGAGUACCGGAGAGGGUGGCGGAAUUCCCCAAGUAGAGGUGAAAUUCGUAGAGAUGGGGAGGAACACCGGAGGCGAAGGCGGCCACCUGGACGGUAACUGACGCUGAGACGCGAAAGCGUGGGGAGCGAACAGG